rnacentral:rRNA from 1 species
UACGUAGGGUGCGAGCGUUGUCCGGAUUUAUUGGGCGUAAAGAGCUCGUAGGCGGCUUGUCGCGUCGGAUGUGAAAGCCCGGGGCUUAACUCCGGGUCUGCAUUCGAUACGGGCAGGCUAGAGUGUGGUAGGGGAGAUCGGAAUUCCUGGUGUAGCGGUGAAAUGCGCAGAUAUCAGGAGGAACACCGGUGGCGAAGGCGGUUCUCUGGGCCUGUACUGACGCUGAGGAGCGAAAGCGUGGGGAGCGAACAGG